GACGAACGCUGGCGGCGUGCUUAACACAUGCAAGUCGAACGAAGUGGCGAACGGGUGAGUAACGCGUAAUCAACCUGCCCUUCCGAGGGGGACAACAGUUGGACACGACUGCUACUACCGCAUACUGAAGGGGGGAUAUGCGGCUGAUUAGCUAGUUGGAGGGGUAACGGCCCACCAAGGCGAGGAUCAGUAGCCGGUCUGGUAGGAUGACCGGUCACAUUGGGACGGAUACACGGCCCAGACUCCUACGGGAGGCAGCAGUGGGGAAUCUUCCGCAAUGGACGAAAGUCUGACGGAGCAACGCCGCGUGAGUGAUGACGGCCUUCGGGUUGUAAAGCGCUGUUAAUCGGGACGCGGUACCGGAAUAGAAAGCCACGGCUAACUACGUGCCAGCAGCCGCGGUAAUUC
rnacentral:rRNA from 1 species